AAACUUUAUUUCUUCUGAUGAGAGAUCAGCCAAAGUAAACAAUGCAAAACUAUCACACAUGUGAACAAUUAUCAACACAGUAAAGAAUACAACGGGGCAAGAAAAGGAGCCCUGGAAACCAACGAGGUGGGAUCAGGUUCCUAGAAGGCGUAAGCAUCCCCUGUCGACACACCUGCUGUGAGACCUUUGUUUUGAUCAGCAUACGAAAAUUCCAUUGAAAACGACGAAGAAACUUUAUUUCUUCUGAUGAGAGAUCAGCCAAAGUAAACAAUGCAAAACUAUCACACAUGUGAACAAUUAUCAACACAGUAAAGAAUACAACGGGGCAAGAAAAGGAGCCCUGGAAACCAACGAGGUGGGAUCAGGUUCCUAGAAGGCGUAAGCAUCCCCUGUCGACACACCUGCUGUGAGACCUUUGUUUUGAUCAGCUCAAGGUCCUUCUCCUCCUUAAAGACAACAUUCGUUGAGGUGAGCUCUGUAAUCUCUGAUUACCUAUGUUUCUUUCAAUGCUAGAUGGUUAAACUGUGUUGUGGAUAUUGAGAAAAUGCAACGAAUGUCGAAGA